GGAGAGGUGGCCGAGUGGACUAAGGCGCUCGCCUGGAGAGCGAGUAGACGGGCAAACCCUGUCUCGUGGGUUCGAAUCCCACCCUCUCCG
rnacentral:tRNA from 1 species